rnacentral:rRNA from 2 species
UGCCUACGGGUGGCAGCAGUGGGGAAUAUUGGGCAAUGGGGGAAACCCUGACCCAGCAACGCCGCGUGAAGGAAGAAGGUCUUCGGAUCGUAAACUUCUAUCCUUGGUGAAGAUAAUGACGGUAGCCGAGAAGGAAGCCCCGGCUAACUACGUGCCAGCAGCCGCGGUAAUACGUAGGGGGCAAGCGUUGUCCGGAAUGAUUGGGCGUAAAGGGCGCGUAGGCGGCCUGGUAAGUCUGGAGUGAAAGUCCUGCUUUUAAGGUGGGAAUUGCUUUGGAUACUGCUGGGCUUGAGUGCAGGAGAGGUAAGUGGAAUUCCCGGUGUAGCGGUGAAAUGCGUAGAGAUCGGGAGGAACACCAGUGGCGAAGGCGACUUACUGGACUGUAACUGACGCUGAGGCGCGAAAGUGUGGGGAGCAAACAGGAUUAGAUACCCUAGUAGUCUG